rnacentral:rRNA from 1 species
UUCCGGUUGAUCCUGCCGGACCUGACUGCUAUCGGAUUGAUACUAAGCCAUGCGAGUCUUUGUAGCAAUACAAGGCAGACGGCUCAGUAACACGUAGUCAAUCUACCCUAUGGACGGGGAUAACCUCGGGAGACUGAGAAUAAUACCCGACAGAUCAUUAUGCCUGGAAUGGUUUAUGGUUCAAAUGAUUUUUCGCCAUAGGAUGGGACUGCGGUCUAUCAGCUUGUUGGUGAGGUAAUGGCCCACCAAGGCUAUAACAGAUACGGGCUCUGAGAGGAGAAGCCCGGAGAUGGGUACUGAGACACGGACCCAGGUCCUAUGGGGCGCAGCAGGCGAGAAAACUUUGCAAUGUGCGAAAGCACGACAAGGUUAACCCGAGAUGUUUUCUGCUAAAGAAAUCUUUUGUCAGUCCUAAAAACACUGGACGAAUAAGGGGUGGGCAAGUUCUGGUGUCAGCCGCGCGCGGUAAAACCAGCACCUCAAGUGGUCAGGAGGAUUAUUGGGCCUAAAGCAUCCGUAGCCUGCUCUGUAAGUUUUCGGCUUAAAUCUAUAUGCUCAACAUAUAGGCUGCCGGGAAUACUGCAGAGCUUGGGAGUGGGAGAGUAGAUGGUACUCGCGUUAGAAGGGGUAACAAUCCUUUGUAUCUAUUGAUGAU